AUCCUUUGUGGUUCAUAAGCGUGAUGAUCGAGUGUUCAUGUGCAUGUGUGAGAUGUGCCACCCUGAGACCUUGUUACAAAGUCAACUUAUUACCCAUCUGAGA
ensembl:snoRNA